GUCAAUUAGUUUGUGCAAUAAUGAGUGAAUGUUACUCGUCUUCAUAUUGUGUGCGGAUGUGGAUCGGGAGGAAAUAAGUUGACAAGAAAACGGUGAAUCAUUUCAAAACUUGUAAAUGUGAUGACAGCAGCAGGCGUCGUCCUGAGAAGGUUGGUUGCACACCCUCUAUAGAAACCAGGGAGACCAUCUUGUUGAAAUACUUUCUUUACGCAAUCGGCUACCCCAGAAUAACGCUUCUCAGAGUGAA
rnacentral:misc_RNA from 1 species